rnacentral:tRNA from 1 species
GGGCUCGUAGCUCAGCAGGAUAGAGCAACGGCCUCCUAAGCCGUAGGUCAGGCGUUCGAAUCGCCUCGAGCCCGCCA